rnacentral:rRNA from 1 species
CCACUGCGCCUGAAGGUACCUCCAAAGGAAGCUCCGGCUAACUCCGUGCCAGCAGCCGCGGUAAUACGGAGGGAGCGAACGUUGUUCGGAUUUACUGGGUGUAAAGGGUGCGUAGGCGGCUACGUGUGUCAGAGGUGAAAGCUCACGGCUCAACCGUGGAAUUGCCUUUGAAACUGCGUAGCUUGAGUCCGAGAGAGGAUGAUGGAAUUCCUGGUGUAACGGUGAAAUGUGCAGAUAUCAGGAAGAACACCGGUGGCGAAGGCGGUCAUCUGGCUCGGUACUGACGCUGAGGCACGAAAGCUAGGGUAUCAAACGGGAUUAGAUACCCCGGUAGUCCUAGCCGUAAACGAUGUCCACUAGGUGUCGGAGGUUCUACCCCUUCGGUGCCGCAGCUAACGCAUUAAGUGGACCACCUGGGGAGUACGCUCGCAAGGGUGAAACUCAAAGGAAUUGACGGGGGCCCGCACAAGCGGUGGAGCAUGUGGUUUAAUUCGAUGCAACGCGAAGAACCUUACCUGGGCUUGACAUGCAGGGGACAGGUGUAGAGAUACAUCCUUCUUCGGACUCCUGUACAGGUGCUGCAUGGCUGUCGUCAGCUCGUGUCGUGAAAUGUUGGGUUAAGUCCCGCAACGAGCGCAACCCUUGUCCUUAGUUGCCAGCACGUCAUGGUGGGAACUCUAGGGAGACUGCCGGUGACAAACCGGAGGAAGGUGGGGACGACGUCAAGUCAUCAUGGCCCUUACGUCCAGGGCUACACACGUGCUACAAUGGCACAUACGGAGGGCCGCGAACCCGCGAGGGGGAGCCAAUCCCAAAAAGUGUGCCUCAGUUCGGAUCGCAGUCUGCAACUCGACUGCGUGAAGUCGGAAUCGCUAGUAAUCGCGGAUCAGCAUGCCGC